GAUCAUGGCUCAGGACGAACGCUGGCGGCGUGCCUAAUACAUGCAAGUAGAACGCUGAAGGAGGAGCUUGCUUCUCCGGAUGAGUUGCGAACGGGUGAGUAACGCGUAGGUAACCUGCCUGGUAGCGGGGGAUAACUAUUGGAAACGAUAGCUAAUACCGCAUAAGAGUAGAUGUUGCAUGACAUUUACUUAAAAGGUAGCAAUUGCAUCACUACCAGAUGGACCUGCGUUG
rnacentral:rRNA from 1 species